UAUUUUACCUUGUUGCUUCGGCGGGCCCGCCUUUACUGGCCGCCGGGGGGCUCACGCCCCCGGGCCCGCGCCCGCCGAAGACACCCCCGAACUCUGUCUGAAGAUUGAAGUCUGAGUGAAAAUAUAAAUUAUUUAAAACUUUCAACAACGGAUCUCUUGGUUCCGGCAUCGAUGAAGAACGCAGCGAAAUGCGAUACGUAAUGUGAAUUGCAAAUUCAGUGAAUCAUCGAGUCUUUGAACGCACAUUGCGCCCCCUGGUAUUCCGGGGGGCAUGCCUGUCCGAGCGUCAUUGCUGCCCUCAAGCCCGGCUUGUGUGUUGGGCCCCGUCCUCCGAUUCCGGGGGACGGGCCCGAAAGGCAGCGGCGGCACCGCGUCCGGUCCUCGAGCGUAUGGGGCUUUGUCACCCGCUCUGUAGGCCCGGCCGGCGCUUGCCGAUCAACCCAAAUUUUUAUCCAGGUUGACCUCGGAUCAGGUAGGGAUACCCGCUGAACUUAAGCAUAUCAAUAAGCG
rnacentral:misc_RNA from 1 species